AUACUUACCUGACGGGGCAAUACCAUGAUCAAGGAGGUGGUUUGCCCAAAGUGAGGCUCAGCCAUUACAAUCAGGCUGUGUUGACCUUUCCAAAUUCCCCAAAUGUGGCAAUCUUUACUUCAUAAUUUCUUAUAGUGAGAGACUGCUGUCUCGCUCUCCCCUG